rnacentral:rRNA from 1 species
AUUGAACGCUGGCGGCAGGCCUAACACAUGCAAGUCGAACGAGUGGCGGACGGGUGAGUAAUGUCUGGGAAUCUGCCUGAUAGAGGGGGAUAACUUCUGGAAACGGUCGCUAAUACCGCAUACCAUCAGAUGUGCCCAGAUGGGAUUAGCUAGUGGGUGGGGUAAAGGCCUACCAAGGCGACGAUCCGUAACUGGUCUGAGAGGAUGACCAGCCACACUGGAACUGAGACACGGUCCAGACUCCUACGGGAGGCAGCAGUGGGGAAUAUUGGACAAUGGGCGAAAGCCUGAUGCAGCCAUGCCGCGUGUGUGAAGAAGGCCUUCGGGUUGUAAAGCACUUUAAGUGGGGAGGCGUUACCAGCAGAAGAAGCACCGGCUAACUCCGUGCCAGCAGCCGCGGUAAUAC